GACGAACGCUGGCGGCGUGCCUAACACAUGCAAGUCGAACGGACGAGGAGGAGCUUGCUUCUCCAAGUCAGUGGCGGACGGGUGAGUAACGCGUGAGUAACCUGCCCUUCAGAGGGGGAUAACGUCUGGAAACGGACGCUAAUACCGCAUGACAUAUUUCCAUCGCAUGGUGGAGAUAUCAAAGGAGCAAUCCGCUGAAGGAUGGACUCGCGUCCGAUUAGAUAGUUGGCGGGGUAACGGCCCACCAAGUCGACGAUCGGUAGCCGGACUGAGAGGUUGAACGGCCACAUUGGGACUGAGACACGGCCCAG
rnacentral:rRNA from 1 species